CGCGCUUCCGUGGCCGAGCUCGCUGAGGCGUUGGCGAGGUGUGUCCGGUGGUUGCCAUGUCGGAUCUGGCCCUGGCCGGCAGCAGGUAUCUCAAAUCAGUGCCCACCCUGAAAACCACGGCCAGUACAAGACCUUAUCAAGCUCCUUAUCUGACCGAAUAGUUUCACAACUUUUGCUCCAGUGCGCUACUUAACAGCAUUAACACUGCAUGACAAACCUACCUGAAAAUUAUAAUGAACGUAUCAAUCAACAAAAAACUAUUACUAAUCUUCUUUAAGAUAUCAAGAUGACAUUUUGCAGCACCUCAGAACAGAUACAACAAGAAUGGAAAACACAAGUUUCCUUGGAAGUAUAUACUCAUAUCAUCAUCUGCUUCAUAACCUUGCUGAGUGAAGACAUGGCUACUGCCAAAGGAAGAAGUGCAAGGACACCCGGAGCCUGAGUGUCAUGAGGGGGAGCUUGGACAUCAGUGGGAGAAAUCCCCAAGAGAUUGCAUUUGAAGUUCAUUUUAAGCCAUUGUAAGCUAAUAAAAUUGAUGCACCAUCAAUAACUCUCAGAGACAGGAGAUGAACGAUAGGCUUUUAUUAGCUGCAAGAGACCACGAUUAGUAGCAAGAGACCACCACACAACAUCCUGGAGACUGAGGGAGGAGCAGUGCCUCCAACCACCUUUAUACAGGGGUCUGUGGGAGGAGCCACAGGAGCAGUCUGCAGAGGGGCGUGUCCAGACAGGUAUAUGUAGUUCACCACGGUAUUAUAAAUAAUGCACUGCCGCAAAUCAUUAUAAUGUUUUGGAUUUUAUCUCCCACCCUUGUGACUUCUACAGCCAAGAAGAACAAGAACAGAAUGCACAUGGAAACAAUGUCUCCAAGUUCCAUAAAUGGGGGGAGAACUUGAGAAGCUUGAAUAACAGAGAGAGCAUGUGUCCCACAGAUCCUUAAAGAUGGAUAACCUUACAUUGAUGAAGCAUCUGGAGAGGUGGAGUUUCAAGAUGGCGACGUAAACAUCUGCCUUUUAGGCGCUCUUCACUUUUUUAACUAUAAUCACCCUUUAAUCAAAUCUUUUCGAAUUUAAUCAAAUGAGUUGAUAUUUUCGAUUGACUUUUUUUUUCCCUAAAACUAUAUUUGAUCUAACUUUGUCGAACUUAAAAUGGCUACAAGUAAGAAAUCGUCUAAGGAGCCUUUAUCUAUCGAUGCAAUUUCUAAUCUUCUGGACACUAAACUUGCAAGUUUGGAAAGCAAGCUGGAAAGUAAAAUGGCAAGUUUGGAAAACAAGCUGGAAAGUAAAAUGGCAAGUUUGGAAAACAAGCUUACCACGAAAAUGUCUGAACUUGAAGGAGUUGUUAGAUCGCUUAAUACUAAGCUUCAGUCGCAGGCAUCGGAUAUUCAGCGGCAUGAAGAUAAGUUGGCGACUCUUGAAAAAUUAAUUGUUGAAAAAGUACGUACAAUUGAAGUGUUGGAUAAGAAGGUACAAUCGACUCUUAAAACUGUAGAUCAGUAUAAGUUUAAAAUUACUGAUCUCGAUGAAGCAUCUGAAGGUAAUUAGACUGCUCUAACCCUGAAAAAUGCCUACAACAAUGUUUUCCCACAGAAAUGAUUGAUUAUUAGCAGCCUCAGCUAUCUUUUUUUGUGAGGUAUGACACCAAUCUUUGAAAUAUUUACCCCUGAUGCCAAUUGAUUUCAGUUUUACCAGAAUUUCUUGUUGAAAUAUUUGUAAAGUGUUGCCUUGAUAUCAAAUGACUCUCAGCUCUCUUUUGGAAUUCAUGCCUUGAUUUAUGUUUUGUCCAAGAUUAUGGUGAAAUAUGGAGAUGACUGGUUGCGGCAAAACUGAAAUUAGUGUCAGUGAGAAUUCCCAUGCUCUUUGAGAUAUUUUAUAUUAUCUUAGUUUUAUUUUAUCAUUCUUUAGAAACAAUAUGCAACUCAAUAAGUUUUACCAAAACAAUAAGUUUUACCAGAAUUUACCAGUUUUAUGACUCCAGAAAACAUUGACCUUUCCUCUCUCCACUGCCUACCUAAUGUCAUUGUAUUGCCAUCUCUCCAAGUUACAGGGCUUGACCUCUUGUCUACAAUCUCCUGUGGUAGCCAAAUUCUCCAUUUACUACUCAAUAAUUUAUAGUGCAGCCUGAUUUUUCUCAGCUUCCUAGUCCAAGGGAGUUUUGAUUUAAUUCCCUUCCAAUACCACUGCACUACCAGUCCCCCAACUGCUGUCUCCUACCGGCUGUCUAUUUGCUGACUAUUUACUCAGAGCACAGAAUUGAUAACUUCUGUGUAUUCCUAUUAGGAAAAUACACAGUGCUUAGUUUAAAUCCAAUUCUGCUUUAUUUAGUCAGAUUUUGUUUCUGUGGUUGCACAUUCAACUUUAUGUUGAAAAUUACUGGAAAUUAUGGGACAAUGAGUAAAUGAUUCAGUCCCCCAAGUCUGUUCAGGUAAUCAAUGAUAUCACAUAUAAUUUGUGAUGUAUCUGCCUUUUUUCAUAUUAUCUUUCAUAAACUCUUUAAUGUCACUUAAUAUCAAAGUCACAUUAUCAUGUUGAUUCCAUAUUGUUGAAGAUGAAUGAACAUCUUUUGCUUCAAUAUACAUGCUUAUUUUAACUGACUAAAUUUUCAGUUGUUGCUAACUUUAAAAUGGUAUUAAACCAUUUUAAACAGGUAUUUAUCACUUUGCACACUUUUUAAUGGUUUUAAUUGUUAAAGUAAGAUUUGUUCCUUGACAACAUAGUCUUGGCAAUAUCAAUUUAUGUAUUAUGUUUUAAAAAUUUAAUCAAGUAAGUUUACAAUUAAGUUGAUGAGCUUGGGAACUCAACUAUUAGGGAGACGUAUGUUUUUACUGUGGGACACUGCUAAUAAAUUGCAGUUGUAUGGGGCAUGUUGGAGUAUUGAAACUGAUGGAACUUCUUUUAAUACCAGCAUGAGAUCAGAAGUUUUGCUUAGCAUCCUCCCCAAAUUCACAAUGUAAAUGAAAGACUUAAAAAUACCCCUACAGGCCUUUAGCAGCUGAAAGGGAGAAACAUGCUAGACCUGAUUCUUUCUCUUUAUCUCAUCAGAAUCUCAACUACAGCACAAAACACUAUGCCUCUCUACAGCAUAUCAAGAGCCACUCAAGUUAGACAGAGUCCUCAUGUACUUUGUCAAUUUUGAAGAUACAAGGAGAGAGAUUAGAUUGUUAAUGUUAAUUACUGUUUCUAUAACUGCUCUCACACUUGCAAAUUUUCAAUACCUGUCCAUCUAUUGAAGUUUUAACAAAUAAUCCAUAAAUUGUAAUUAGGCAAAAAAAUUUCUCAGAAUCUCUACCUGUGUGACACUAUAAACAGCUCAGACAAUGUGUGUGUGUUGAUUAUCUUGCAAUAUUUUAUUUUCUGGUAGGGCAUUAAAGAAAAUGGAACUUGUCAUAAAUAAUCUUUAUUGCCAAUUUCAGCUGCUUAUUUGGAGGCUAGGAACAUCAAUUGACCACGGAAUAAUGCAGAGUACUCACAUCUUCUGCUGACAACUGGUGGACACAAGCCUGUAGCAGACAGGUUUAGUUAAUGAUAAAGAUGUGUAGCUUCUGUUUUGUAGGUGGUUGUCAAUUUAAAAGAAAAGUUUGCAUUAAGUUUUUUAGAUUUGACCACUAAGUGUUUGACAUCAAGAUGGCCACAAGGAGCUUUGUUCUCUAGGGCUUGCUGUCAUGUUGGUAGUUCUGAACCAGGUGGAUAAGAAAGAUUUUGCAAGUCAAACGAUAAUCAAGCAAAUUUAAAUUGGUUGUUUUUUUGUACUUUGUUCAGUAGAGGGCAGUAUUGAGCACUUGUUUCAUGAUUACCCUUUUGAUCCAGAUGACUGGACUUUGGAUUGUCUUUCAGGUUGAUUUUAGCCCAGUUUUGCACUAAUAUUUCUAUUGACAAAUUAAUGUACAAAAAUAUGCCAGCUUUUUAAUAGAUUUCAUGACAAGAGGAUAAAAUACUUCCUUGAUUCAGAACUUCAGCUAUUAUAUGAGAACCUGAUGCAGAGUGUCAAACAUUAAGAUAAUAUAUAUAAAACAAAAUAAUUCCAUUGAUACACUUUCUUUCAAUCCACAAAAGCAGAUAGAGCAAAUUCUGGGAUUUGUGUGUAAUGCAGGCAUCCCCAAAUGGUGAUUUCAUAUACUCAUGCAUUAUUGUUCCUCAAGGAGACAUUAGAGUCAGGAUAGAAGCAAGCCCCACACCAUGCCGAACUAUUAUUCUGCCUAAUCUCAUCAACCCCUCCAUAACCCUCCCGUUCAUGUACUUAUCCAAAUUAUCUUAAGUGUUGAUAUCAAUCCGUAUCCACCACUUGCGCUGGCAGCUCAUUCCACACUCUCACCACCUUCUGAGUGGAGAAAUUCCCCCUCAUGUUCCCCUUAAACAUUUUACCUUUUACCCUUAACUCAUGACUUCUAGUUCCAGUCUCAUCCAGCUUCAGUAGAAAAAGCCUGCUUGCUUUAACCUUAUCUAUACCUCUCAUUAUUUUGUAUACCUCUACUAAAUUUCCCCUGAUUCUCCUACAUUUCAGGGAGGAAAGUCCUAACCUGUUCAACCUUUCUCUGCAACUCAGGUUCUCAAGUCAAAGCAACAUCCUUGUAAAUUUGUUCUGACCUCUUUCAAUCUUAUUGAUAUCUGUCCUGUAGAUAGGUCUUUGGAACUGCAGACUAAAAUCUAAAUUAGGCCUCACUAUCACCUUAUACAACUAAAGCAUCAUAUCUCAACUCCUGUACUCAAUACUUUGAUUUAUGAAUGCUAAUGUGCCAAAAGCUCUUUUUACGACCCUAUUUACCCAUGGUGCCACUUUCAUGGAAUUAUGGAUCUGUAUUCCCAGAUGCCUCUGUUUUGCUGCACUCCUCAGUGCCCUGUCACAUACCGUGUAAGUCCUACUCUGGUUUGUUCUCCCAAAGGACAACACUUCACACUUGUCUGCAUUGAAUUCCCUCUGCAAUUUUCAGCCCAUGUAUCCACCUAUCAGCUUUGAUAGCCUAUCUUGCUGUCUACUAUGCCAUCAAUCUUAGAUAAGAAGAUAAGACAUUGAGGCAGCAGUAGGCCAUCUGGCCCAUCGAGCCUACUCUGCCAUUCAAUAAGAUCAUGGCUGAUCUGGCUAUGUACUCAACUCCACCAACCUGCCUUUUCCCUGUGACUCUUAGGCUAUGUCCACACUACACCGGAUAAAUCCAUAACCAAAGCUUUUUCUCUUCGUUUUUACCCUCUGUCCACAGUAAAAGGGUGUUUUCAUCCCCCAAAACCGGAGCUUUUCAGAAACACUGUCCAAAGUGCGUAAUUUUGAAAACGCCAGAUUGGCCGGAGCAGUGUGGACGGGGUAACCGGAGAAACCUGAAAACGCUGUAAAACGCCAGCAUGCUAUUUCAUUGUUUUCUUGAAUGCAACCUAACAAUUUCAGAACAAACAGCAACAAGACUGACGUCAGAAGAGUUCGAAAUGUACUCACCGAAUACUUUGUCGAAUAACUUACUGAAUAAAUAA